rnacentral:misc_RNA from 1 species
AUGCGUUUCCGAUGGCUAUUGACAGUGAGGCUAGUCAGAAAAUACUUCUGGAUUGCCGGUGGGUUGAUUGGCAGUGGUGGGAUGGCCGAAUGGAGGUCUAGAUUGCAAGAAAUGGGAGAGAGAAGUUUUGGCCUUUGCAUUUCUUUCUCCUCGCUCCUAGCUGCUGUGCUUCAGCUAAGCAGCACCACCGGAUGUUGUUGGUGCCGUAUGGAGUCUUGCCAGCCAGAGCAAGAAUGGCAAGGGAAGGG